GACGAACGCUGGCGGCGUGCUUAACACAUGCAAGUCGAACGGAAAGGCCCGGCUCUUGUGGGGCGCUCGAGUGGCGAACGGGUGAGUAACACGUGAGUAACCUGCCCUUGACUGUGGGAUAACUUCAGGAAACUGGGGCUAAUACCGGAUAGGAGCUCCUGAUGCAUGGUGGGGGUUGGAAAGUUUCGGCGGUUGGGGAUGGACUCGCGGCUUAUCAGCUUGUUGGUGGGGUAGUUGCUUACCAAGGCUUUGACGGGUAGCCGGCCUGAGAGGGUGACCGGCCACAUUGGGCCUGCGAUACGGCCCAGACUCCUACGGGCGGCAGCAGUGGGGAGUAUUGCACAAUGGGCGGAAGCCUGUUGCAGCAGCGCCGCGUGCGGGAUGCCGGCCUUCGGGUUGUAAACCGCUUUCGCCUGAGACGAAGCGUGCGUGACGGUAAUGGGUAAAGAAGCACCGGCUAACUACGUG
rnacentral:rRNA from 1 species